GACGAACGCUGGCGGCGUGCUUAACACAUGCAAGUCGAACGGAAAGGCCCUGCUUUUGUGGGGUGCUCGAGUGGCGAACGGGUGAGUAACACGUGAGUAACCUGCCCUUGACUUUGGUAUAACUUCAGGAAACUGGGGCUAAUACCGGAUAGUAGCUCCUGCUGCAUGGUGGGGGUUGGAAAGUUUCGGCGGUUGGGGAUGGACUCGCGGCUUAUCAGCUUGUUGGUGGGGUAGUGGCUUACCAAGGCUUUGACGGAUAGCCGGCCUGAGAGGGUGACCGGCCACAUUGGGACUGAGAUACGGCCCAGACUCCUACGGGAGGCAGAAGGGGGGAAUAUUGCACAAUGGGCGGAAGCCUGAUGCAGCAACGCCGCGUGCGGGAUGACGGCCUUCGGGUUGUAAACCGCUUUCGCCUGUGACGAAGCGUGAGUGACGGUAAUGGGUAAAGAAGCACCGGCUAACUACGUG
rnacentral:rRNA from 1 species